AAUAUAAUAUAAGUAUUAAUUAUAUAAAUGCAAUAUGAUGUAAUUGGUUAACAUUUUAGGGUCAUGACCUAAUUAUAUACGUUCAAAUCGUAUUAUUGCUA
rnacentral:tRNA from 1 species